rnacentral:rRNA from 1 species
GGGUGAGUAAUACAUCGGAACAUGUCCUGUAGUGGGGGAUAGCCCGGCGAAAGCCGGAUUAAUACCGCAUACGAUCUACGGAUGAAAGCGGGGGACCUUCGGGCCUCGCGCUAUAGGGUUGGCCGAUGGCUGAUUAGCUAGUUGGUGGGGUAAAGGCCUACCAAGGCGACGAUCAGUAGCUGGUCUGAGAGGACGACCAGCCACACUGGGACUGAGACACGGCCCAGACUCCUACGGGAGGCAGCAGUGGGGAAUUUUGGACAAUGGGCGAAAGCCUGAUCCAGCAAUGCCGCGUGUGUGAAGAAGGCCUUCGGGUUGUAAAGCACUUUUGUCCGGAAAGAAAUCCUUGGUUCUAAUAUAGCCGGGGGAUGACGGUACCGGAAGAAUAAGCACCGGCUAACUACGUGCCAGCAGCCGCGGUAAUACGUAGGGUGCAAGCGUUAAUCGGAAUUACUGGGCGUAAAGCGUGCGCAGGCGGUUUGUUAAGACCGAUGUGAAAUCCCCGGGCUCAACCUGGGAACUGCAUUGGUGACUGGCAAGCUAGAGUAUGGCAGAGGGGGGUAGAAUUCCACGUGUAGCAGUGAAAUGCGUAGAGAUGUGGAGGAAUACCGAUGGCGAA